rnacentral:rRNA from 1 species
AACGGCCGCGGUAUCCUAACCGUGCAAAGGUAGCAUAAUCACUUGCCUAUUAAUUGUAGGCUAGAAUGAAAGGGUUAACGAAAUAAAAACUGUCUCAAUUAAUUAUCUAAAAAUUAUUUUCUAUCUGAAGAAAGGUAGAUAAUCUCGAAGGACAAGAAGACCCUAUAGAGCUUAAUUUUAAUUAUAGGACUACACUAUAAAAAUAUUCGGUUGGGGCGACCCAGGGCUAAUCAAUCACCCAUUUAAAUAAAGAUAAAUUAAUCUAUUAAAUGACCCUUUAAAGAUCAUAAGAACAAGCUACCUUAGGGAUAACAGGCUAAUCCCACUUAAGAGUCCUUAUCAACAGUGGGGUUUGGCACCUCGAUGUUGGCUUAGG